UCGAGAAUCUUUCGCAAUGCCCGAAAGGGUGACGAAGCGACGCCGCGUGUGGGAAGAAGGCCUUCGGGUUGUAAACCACUGUCGGGAGUUAGGAAAUGCAGGUGCGUUAAUAGCGCACUUGCUUGACUAAGGCUCCAGAGGAAGCCACGGCUAACUCUGUGCCAGCAGCCGCGGUAAUACAGAGGCGGCAAGCGUUGUUCGGAAUUAUUGGGCGUAAAGAGCACGUAGGCGGCCUUGCAAGUCAGUUGUGAAAGCCUUCCGCUUAACGGAAGAACGGCAUCUGAUACUACAGGGCUUGAGUACGGGAGGGGAGAGUGGAACUUCUGGUGGAGCGGUGAAAUGCGUAGAUAUCAGAAGGAACGCCGGCGGCGAAAGCGACUCUCUGGUCCGAAACUGACGCUGAGUGUGCGAAAGCUAGGGGAGCAAACGGGAUUAGAUACCCCGGUAGUCCUAGCCGUAAACGGUGGGCACUAAGUAGAGGGGUUUUGAUUAUUUCUCUGCCGGAGCUAACGCAUUAAGUGCCCCGCCUGGGGAGUACGGCCGCAAGGCUAAAACUCAAAAGAAUUGACGGGGGCUCGCACAAGCGGUGGAGCAUGUGGCUUAAUUCGAUGCAACGCGAAGAACCUUACCGGGGCUUGACAUGGUAGAAGUAGAAUCCUGAAAGGGUGACGAUCGGUAUCCAGUCCGAAGCUAUCACAGGUGUUGCAUGGCUGUCGUCAGCUCGUGUCGUGAGACGUUGGGUUAAGUCCCCUAACGAGCGAAACCCUUGUCUUUAGUUGCUAACGGGUAAUGCUGAGCACUUUAGAGAGACUGCCGUCGUUAAGACGGAGGAAGGUGGGGACGACGUCAAGUCAUCAUGGCCCUUAUGUCCCGGGCUGCACACGUGCUACAAUGGUCGGUACAAAGGGAUGCUAAGUCGCGAGAUGGUGCGAAACCUAUAAAGCCGAUCUCAGUUCAGAUUGGAGGCUGAAACUCGCCUCCAUGAAGUUGGAAUCGCUAGUAAUCGCGGAUCAGCUACGCCGCGGUGAAUAUGUUCCCGAGCCUUGUACACACCGCCCGUCAAGCCACCCAAGCAAGAUGCACCCAAAAUCGCCUGCCUAACCCGUAAGGGAGGGAAGUGCCUAAGGUGUGUUUUGUGAGGAGGACUAAGUCGUAACAAGGUAGUCGUAGGAGAACC
rnacentral:rRNA from 1 species